UAAUGCAGUCGAACGCACUCUCGUUUAGAUUGAAGGAGCUUGCUCCUGAUUGAUAAACAUUUGAGUGAGUGGCGGACGGGUGAGUAACACGUGGGUAACCUGCCCUAAAGUGGGGGAUAACAUUUGGAAACAGAUGCUAAUACCGCAUAAAACCUAACACCGCAUGGUGUAGGGUUGAAAGAUGGUUUCGGCUAUCACUUUAGGAUGGACCCGCGGUGCAUUAGUUAGUUGGUGAGGUAAAGGCUCACCAAGACCGUGAUGCAUAGCCGACCUGAGAGGGUAAUCGGCCACACUGGGACUGAGACACGGCCCAGACUCCUACGGGAGGCAGCAGUAGGGAAUCUUCCACAAUGGACGAAAGUCUGAUGGAGCAACGCCGCGUGAGUGAAGAAGGUUUUCGGAUCGUAAAACUCUGUUGUUGGAGAAGAAUGUAUCUGAUAGUAACUGAUCAGGUAGUGACGGUAUCCAACCAGAAAGCCACGGCUAACUACGUGCCAGCAGCCGCGGUAAUACGUAGGUGGCAAGCGUUGUCCGGAUUUAUUGGGCGUAAAGCGAGCGCAGGCGGUUUCUUAAGUCUGAUGUGAAAGCCUUCGGCUCAACCGAAGAAGUGCAUCGGAAACUGGGAAACUUGAGUGCAGAAGAGGACAGUGGAACUCCAUGUGUAGCGGUGAAAUGCGUAGAUAUAUGGAAGAACACCAGUGGCGAAGGCGGCUGUCUGGUCUGUAACUGACGCUGAGGCUCGAAAGCAUGGGUAGCAAACAGGAUUAGAUACCCUGGUAGUCCAUGCCGUAAACGAUGAGUGCUAGGUGUUGGAGGGUUUCCGCCCUUCAGUGCCGCAGCUAACGCAUUAAGCACUCCGCCUGGGGAGUACGACCGCAAGGUUGAAACUCAAAGGAAUUGACGGGGCCCGCACAAGCGGUGGAGCAUGUGGUUUAAUUCGAAGCAACGCGAGAACCUUACCAGGUCUUG
rnacentral:rRNA from 2 species